UGGGAGUUUACCUGCACAAAACUCUUUUUUUGCCUGCUACCAUCCACGUUAGAUAUGACUUGCUCCUCCUUGCCUUCCAUCAUGAUUGUGAGGCCUGCCCAGACAUGUGGAACUGUGAUAUAAGUCUUUUGAGGUACAGCCUGGCACAAAAAGGAUGAGAUUUGUGGGCAGAAUUUUGGAAGAAUAUCUCCCGAGAGAACAUUCAGGACAGGGCCCUACAUCUCCCCGAGAAGAGGUGAAAGAGACUGCUCCUAUCUGCUUCUGCAUCAAACUUCAGGCUCAAGACCUGUCCAGAAAAAAAAAUGUCUUCUUUCAGGGAUGAACUGCUGUCCUCAUCAGACGCCUUAUUUUGUUUAGAAUUCAAGCUCACUUGACAGGUUAUUGUGAAGAUUAAAUGAAUUAAUACAUGUGAAGCAACUGUAACAACUCUUGACAUGCGGGGGCUGGACUUCCAGAAGAAACGUUGUCAGAACUCUGCCCAACUGAAAACAAGCCUACUAAAAAUAAAUAAAUAAAUAAAAUUUUAAAAAAUUGAUUAAUUAAAAG
rnacentral:lncRNA from 10 species